GAUGAAGAACGCAGUGAAAUGCGAUAAUUAAUGUGAAUUGCAGAAUUUAGUGAAUCAUCGAAUCUUUGAACGCACAUUGCGCCCCUUGGUAUUCCGGGGAGCAUGCCUGUUCGAGCGUCAUUACAACCCUCAAGCUCUGCUUGGUGUUGGGCCCCGCCGCCCCGGCGGGCCCUAAAGUCAGUGGCGGUGCCGUCCGGCUCCGAGCGUAGUAAUUUUUCUCGCUUUGGAGGCCCGGGCGCGUGCUUGCCAUCAACCCCCAAUUUUUUUCAGGUUGACCUCGGAUCAGGUAGGGAUACCCGCUGAACUUAAGCAUAUCAAUAAGCGGAGGA
rnacentral:misc_RNA from 1 species